GAUGAACGCUGGCGGCGUGCCUAAUACAUGCAAGUCGAGCGAACAGACGAGGAGCUUGCUCCUCUGACGUUAGCGGCGGACGGGUGAGUAACACGUGGAUAACCUACCUAUAAGACUGGGAUAACUUCGGGAAACCGGAGCUGAUACCGGAUAAUAUAUUGAACCGCAUGGUUCAAUAGUGAAAGACGGUUUUGCUGUCACUUAUAGAUGGAUCCGCGCCGCAUUAGCUAGUUGGUAAGGUAACGGCUUACCAAGGCAACGAUGCGUAGCCGACCUGAGAGGGUGAUCGGCCACACUGGAACUGAGACACGGUCCAGACUCCUACGGGAGGCAGCAGUAGGGAAUCUUCCGCAAUGGGCGAAAGCCUGACGGAGCAACGCCGCGUGAAUGAUGAAGGUCUUCGGAUCGUAAAACUCUGUUAUUAGGGAAGAACAAAUGUGUAAGUAACUAUGCACGUCUUGACGGUACCUAAUCAGAAAGCCACGGCUAACUACGU
rnacentral:rRNA from 1 species